CCUCUGGUAGCUCAGUUGGUAGAGCGGUGGACUGUGGAUCCAUAGGUCGCUGGUUCAAAUCCGGCCCAGAGGA
rnacentral:tRNA from 1 species